AUUAUUUAUCAAAUCUGUUAAAAAAGCAAAGCACCGGCAUAACAUAAAUUUUAUUACAUACUGGAGUUUAGAAUAGAACUACGGGUUACACUGUGUUUAUUCAUCGACAUUUGUUUAGAAACCGAUAGAACCUAUGGCGUUGACAAAUGUUUCCAUUACAGAUACGGUUAACGUUAACCUUCCACGAAAAUGACGACCAAAACUGUUAAUACUGUACAGUACAAGGCAAACUUAGGCCCCUGACGUUAGCCGGAGCUGUACCAAUCCACAAAGAGAUGCGGAGAGCGAGCUCUCUCUUCUUCCCAGCGUGCUUUGCGCGCUAGAGGAAGUUGCGCUGGUUACAUUUAAAGACAGGGGCUGCCUGUACUGAAGAGGAUAACUGAACAGGCAGAGGCAGGGAGAAGGGCGGGUGCAAGAGGCAGCUCCGCGCAGCUAAGGUCCAAGAUGGCAGGCAAGCGGAACCCGACCAGGAACAAAAACUUCAUAAAACAAGCGCCAUCUACGAAGAAUAUUCCUCUGCUUUGCCCAGACGAAAGAAGGGGACAGUAUUUCGGCAAAGUUAGGGGUGAGGUGAAAUCCAGUGAAGAUGGAUGAAGACACACUGUUCUUCUUUUGAGGAAAAAGUCUGUCAAUGGAGAUGUUCAAAAAGGACCACGUGAACAGUUUCUGUUAAGUGGACCAGCUGAACAUGUCCUCUUUCCGAAAAGACGAAGAUGUUCUGACCCCCAUACAACAGAAGAAAGUGAAGUGGAGACAUGUGGUAUGUCACCAAGAUGGCAACUCCUUUCUGUGCUUUGGGAUUCUGUUAUCUGGGGGUGGCAAAUUUGAGGGGUUUUUUUUUUCUUUUUUUUUUUUUUUUCCUUUUUUCUUUUUUUCUUCUUGCUGCAUUGCAUGGACAUGUCAUGGAGUUGUAAAAGAGUGUCUUUACCAGAGGAAUUUGUGCUUCUAAUAUGUUUCAUGCUUUCUGACACAGUGAAAUGUGAUUGAGUGUGAUGAAGAGUUUGUAUUUGUUUUCAAAAUGUUUAUGUAUUUCAUCUGUAUUUAAUUGGACUGUUUCUUCAUUGGUUUUUAAUAAAAUAAGGUUAUUUAACUUUU